CGGGUUUUCCGCGCCGUAGCUAACGCAUUAAGUGCCCCGCCUGGGGAGUACGGCCGCAAGGCUAAAACUCAAAGGAAUUGACGGGGGCCCGCACAAGCGGCGGAGCAUGCGGAUUAAUUCGAUGCAACGCGAAGAACCUUACCAAGGCUUGACAUGGGCUGGAUUGCUUCGGAGACGGGGUUUCCCUUUUUGGGCUGGUUCACAGGUGGUGCAUGGUUGUCGUCAGCUCGUGUCGUGAGAUGUUGGGUUAAGUCCCGCAACGAGCGCAACCCUUGUCUCGUGAUGCCAGCACGUUGUGGUGGGGACUCGCGGGAGACUGCCGGGGUUAACUCGGAGGAAGGUGGGGAUGACGUCAAAUCAUCAUGCCCCUUAUGUCUUGGGCUUCACGCAUGCUACAAUGGCCGGUACAGUGGGUUGCGAUGCUGUGAGGCGGAGCGAAUCCCUGAAAGCCGGUCUCAGUUCGGAUCGGUGUCUGCAACUCGACACCGUGAAGUUGGAGUCGCUAGUAAUCGCAGAUCAGCAGCGCUGCGGUGAAUACGUUCUCGGGCCUUGU
rnacentral:rRNA from 1 species